GGAGAGAUGGCUCAGUGGUUACGAGCACUGACUUCUCUUUCAGAGGACCUGGGUUCAAUUCCCAGCAUCCA
rfam:Mesocricetus auratus contig108804, whole genome shotgun sequence.